rnacentral:rRNA from 1 species
GAGUUUGAUCGUGGCUCAGAUUGAACGCUGGCGGCAUGCCUUACACAUGCAAGUCGAACGGUAACAGGUCUUCGGAUGCUGACGAGUGGCGAACGGGUGAGUAAUACAUCGGAACGUGCCCGAUCGUGGGGGGAUAACGAAGCGAAAGCUUUGCUAAUACCGCAUAAGAUCUACGGAUGAAAGCAGGGGACCGCAAGGCCUCGCGCGAACGGAGCGGCCGAUGGCAGAUUAGGUAGUUGGUGGGAUAAAAGCUUACCAAGCCGACGAUCUGUAGCUGGUCUGAGAGGACGACCAGCCACACUGGGACUGAGACACGGCCCAGACUCCUACGGGAGGCAGCAGUGGGGAAUUUUGGACAAUGGGCGAAAGCCUGAUCCAGCCAUGCCGCGUGCAGGAUGAAGGCC